rnacentral:rRNA from 1 species
AACGAACGCUGGCGGCAUGCCUAACACAUGCAAGUCGAACGAGACCUUCGGGUCUAGUGGCGCACGGGUUCGUAACGCGUGGGAACCUGCCCUUAGGUUCGGAAUACCUCCCCGAAAGGGGUGCUAAUACCGGAUCAUGUCUUCGGACCAAAGAUUUAUCGCCUUUGGUUGGGCCCGCGUUGGAUUCGCUAGUUGGUAGGGUAAAAGCAUACCAAGGCGACGAUCCAUAGCUGGUAUGAGAGGAUGAUCAGCCACACUGGGACUGAGACACGGCCCAGACUCCUACGGGAGGGAGCAGUGGGGAAUAGUGGAACAUGGGCGGAAGCCUGAUCCAGCAAUGCCGCGUGAGUGAUGAAGGCCUUAGGGUUGUAAAGCGCUUUUACCCGGGAUGAUAAUGACAGUACCGGGAGAAUAAGCUCCGGCUAACUCCGUG